GGAUUGUGGCUCAGUGGUAGAGUGCUCGCCUAGCAUGUGCAAGGCCCUGAGUUUGAUUCUUAGCACCA
rnacentral:tRNA from 1 species